rnacentral:ncRNA from 2 species
AUCUUAUCAAGAGAGGCUGAGGGACUGGCCCUUCGAAGCCCGGCAACCAGUACUUAUACAUGUAGUAUAUGGUGCUAAUUCCAGCAGCUAGGUAAGUUUUAUACUUAUAGGCUGAUAGAUGAGAA